rnacentral:lncRNA from 1 species
GUACAGUUAAGCCUCUGUGAUUCCACAACAGCUGCCAGCUUUCUGGCUAGAGUGUAUCUGCUCAUUAACUGUGUCCAACCUGGAAUGUUUCAUACUGUCAGAGCUAGAAGAGUCCUCGGAAAUCAACCAGUCCAGAGACUCUCAGAAUCUCGAGAUGGGCUUCAGGGACAUUCUUUACAACCCUUCCCCCACCACAGUCCCAGUUAUACUGAAACAGAACGAUCUAGGCACAUUUUUCCCCCUUUGGGAGAAGCCAUAGAUUUUGUCAAAUUCUCCAAAGGAUUUGUGACAGGAAGAAAGCAUAAACCUUGACAGUUCAGCAUCAUUACUUUACAGGAGAGGAAGCUAGGUCCAGAGAGAAUGCAGUGAGCCAGAGGCAAAUAUUCACUUUCAACGCAGCUUUCUUUACAAAAAAAAAAAAAAAAGGUAUUUUUUACUCUAUUUGAUUCUACAACUUUGCCUUUACCAUGCCGUGAUCACAGGCAGCAACAGAUAACUGUUAUAUGCAAUAGAUGAUUGCAAUCGGUCCUGCAAAUGCGCGCUCCUUCCUUUUUAAUUCACCUUACUAAACAGAACCUGAAAUUGUGUGGGCCCGGGGCCAAUCUAAGAGUUUAAUGGUGCCAAGGGAUCAGGCAGGGUUUUUCCACCCCAGUUCUCUCUGAUGAAUGGAGUUCUGUCUCGUCCCUGUUUUUCUGAGCCAACUUGUCCCCAGGGCCCCAUGGAAGGGCAGGUGUCAGUCCUGGGCAUGGACUCAACAGCCUAACUCCAGCACCUCUGCAGCUGUUCGCAAGCCUGAGAGGCCUCCAGUGGGAACUGGUACAGAAUGUUGGGAAAAGUGGCAAAAGAAAACUAAGGGAAAAAACACCCCUCAGUAGUGAGGGGUUACCAGGUUUCCAAGAGGCUGGCAUUACCUAAGAUCAGGUUAUUAAAUCAUAAACCAGCUCCUGGGAAAAUAGAGUAGAAUGUCUUUUUUCUCCCAGUCUCCUCUUUGUGCUUCCUCUUUCUUAAACCAAUGCUAUCCCAACUCUCCUUCUGUCUUUCCUUACCCAGGGUUUCCCUGUCUCAGGUGGCAGGAGCCUUUGCUGCUUGUCUUAGGCACUCUGUGUCAGAGUGGAAUAAGUUCCAUCAAGUUCUCAUAUCAGUUGGGUCAUUAACUAGAAAUAUGACCCGUAAAGAUCACUUAACUUUCAUGGGCCCCCAGUUUUUGUAUUAAAAGGGGUGGGGCUAAUGAACCAAAUGGGGUAAUGGAUGUGCAAUUGAUUAACAAAUGCAAAUUAGCAAAAGCUAUGCAGAACAACUGUGGCCUUUCACCAAGCCAAGAUAAUGACUGGAAAGAAUGAACAAAGGAUGAAUUUGAGCGUCAAUAUCUCAGUUGAGUUCUGACUUCUUAGAUUUCAGUCUUGAGGACAUUCAAGAUUAGAGUAAACUGAGUCACUGCUGGCUAUUUGAUUAAGAAGACUAGUGGAAAAAUAAGUUGACCUUAAAUACAAUAUAUUCCUAUAUUCCGAAAGUCUCUCACAGUAUCUUACUACCCAAGUACCUGUGAAAAGGUCUUCUGAGGACAAGUUGUUGAGUCAAAGACUGAGAACUAUUGCUCUUUAGGGUUGGAGGAUGAGAGGGAGUUGGUCUGAUAUUACUUGCCAUGGGAAUAAGCACCAUAGAAGGGUUGAGAAUUGCCAGAGAAUGGUAUAAAUAGCAGGAGAUAGGUAUCAACAUCACAGUCAGCAUGUCAAGAUUGUUUUCUAAGGCCAACCGACCACCACCAUGAGGUAAAGCAAGGGAAGUAGGAGACAGUACUCAGGAUGUACUUGAAAGUGGGAGAAAAGAAAACAAUCCAUGGAAGGUGUAGGGUGCUUCAAGAGAAGGGCUUUUACAGAGACAAGGGUUACAUUGUUUUUAAGCAAGUGAUUGCAAAACCAACACAGAAGUUGACUUUAAAAAAUCCAACACAUUGGGAAGAGAGGCCCCUUGGUCUUGCAAACUUUAUAUACCCCAGUAUAGGGAAAUGCCAGGGCCAAGAAGUGGGAAUGGGUGGAUAGGGGAGCAGGGCGGGGAAAUGGUACAGGGAACUUUCGGGAUAGCAUUUGAAAUUUAAAUAAAGAAAAUAUCUAAUAAAAAAUUAAAAUACCAAAAAAAAUCCAACCUUUGAAAGUCUUACAACUUUCUCCAAACUAGGCUUCCUCAGGAUUCCAAAUGAUUUAAAUCACCCAGAUAUAAACUCACAAUAGACUUCAGAUAUUAGAACUAUCAGAAACAUAGCAGAAAUCACUUCAUUAUGAAUUGGUUAAAAAAAUGAAAUAAAGUUUCCAGGUGGAAUAAGAUCAUGUGAAGGCAAAGUGUCCAGGGAAGACUUAUACACCUGAUGACCGUUCAUGCUGCUGUGUUAAGAUGAGGCUAGACAGGUUCAUUCCUCGUAUGGGCCACC